rnacentral:tRNA from 1 species
GCCUCAGUGGCUUAAUGGCAGAGCAGUUGGUUUGUAACCAACAGGUUGGGGGUUCAACUCCCUCCUGAGGCU